AACACUAUACUUUCAGGGAUGGUUUCUGUAGUUUGACUUGAGAAGUGUGGUUCCGAAGUGUUUGGUCCCGUUACACUGUCCACGAUGACGUGAUUUGACACUCCUUUCAGAGCGCGAAGCGGGCAGAGGUUGAAGAAUGUAUUCUUCCUACCUCUGCUUUUGAUGCCCGUUCUGUAUCUCUUCUGGGGGCAUGGAGGAAGGGAGUAUGAUCAGAGCAGU